AGCGCAGGUGGUUUAUUAAGUCUGGUGUAAAAGGCAGUGGCUCAACCAUUGUAUGCAUUGGAAACUGGUAGACUUGAGUGCAGGAGAGGAGAGUGGAAUUCCAUGUGUAGCGGUGAAAUGCGUAGAUAUAUGGAGGAACACCGGUGGCGAAAGCGGCUCUCUGGCCUGUAACUGACACUGAGGCUCGAAAGCGAUGGGGAGCAAACA
rnacentral:rRNA from 1 species